CUAAGUUCCUUUGCAUUUCCAGGAAAUCUGGAAAACCUGACGAUCUUUCCGGAUCUCCUAUUCGGUAGCGUCCAUUUCAACGCGGGCGAAUCAAUUCCUGUAAAUCUCUCAUAAAUUGCAACCAACUCAUCUGAAGUCAACAAACCAGAUUUAGAAACAUGUGCAUCAAACUCUGUCGGGCUCAUGCUGAAAAAUCGAAAAUCAUAGAUCGCCGCGCCAAUGAUGGACCUUCGGUUCUCGCUUGUUGGUUCCAAGUUCUUGCACGCGCAUUGGCAAUCAAUCCAUUUUAAAACAGCUUGAAACAGUUCCACUUCUGGUAUCUUCAGUUUGUCUUGAUUCAGUAAUUUAGCCAAGGUCGUUUGACUGAUGUCAUUGAAACUAUCAGAGGCUACCACUUCGCCUGUACUAGACUGUAUAAGUU